AUGGGUGUCCUCGGCAGGGUCCAUGGAGGUGACACGAGGAUACUCCCAUAUGUGAAGAGAGAUGUUUCGAAUGAACGUGCAAAGCUCCGGAGAGGGCUAACAUUCCGAGACAUGGAUAUGACAGUCGAGUACUUUGAGAGGAGGAAAGAUGAGAAUCCAGAGUUUUUCUAUGCGAAACAAAAGGAUCCUGCAACAAACUCCGUGACUGCCUUGUUUUGGGUUGAUGGGAGAACAAGGGCGCUCUACCCGAAAUAUAAAGAUUGUGUGUUCUUCGAUACAACCUUCUGCACCAAUAGAUACAAUAUGCCAUUUUCUCCUAUAGUUGGGGUCAACAACCAUCUCCAGACCAUUGCACUCGGGUGUGCCUUGUUGCCGGAUGAAAGUAUUGAAACAUUUAAGUGA
rnacentral:rRNA from 1 species